GGACUUCCGGCUUACGGAACGGUGGCCUUCCUCGGGAUUGGCUGGCUAGCGUCCGCAGCUUCCUCCGGCGGAGGCGGGACUUCCGGUUCCUCGUCCGGAGACGCUGCCGCUGUCCGGAAAUCCCGGAGUGGCUGAGAGGUCGUGGAGCUGGGUGAACUUUGUUUUCUGAGUAACCAGUGCUUCCGCGUUCCCAACUCUGCUGAGGAGCACUCUUGACCCAGUUGAGCGGCGACCUCCUGCAACGUCCAUCCCGCAGAACUGGCUUGAAGGACUGAGAGUGGAAAAUAUAGAUGGAAAGAAUAAGCCUAAAAUAAAAUAGUUCUCGUCUUUUUACCCUGAUAUGAAGGUUCCUCCUGCCGAAAUACGUCUAGAUUGUCAUCCCUGGAGUACUGUCACCUCCAUUCUUUUCAAAAACCCUUCAAGGAAGUGAAACUCAGCCUCCAUAGAGAAUAUAAGAGAGAUGCCUGAAUAGAAAGUAAAGAAAAGCCUCAGCUAAUUCUCCCUCCCUGGCUGUCCUAAUAAGUAGGAGAGAACACUGAUUCAGGAGGGAAAGGAAAGUACUAAUCAAAAGAAAC